rnacentral:rRNA from 1 species
GUAAUACUCCAUAGUUCGUUAUUACUGGAAUGUUUUUCGAACGAAAGAUCCGUCGCUUCAGGAUGAGUCUGCGGCCGAUUAGGUAGUUGUUGGGGUAAUUGCCCAACAAGCCUGUAAUCGGUACGGGUUGUGGGAGCAAGAGCCCGGAGAUGGAUUCCGAGACACGAAUCCAGGCCCUACGGGGCGCAGCAGGCGCGAAAACUUUACCAUGCGGGCAACCGUGAUAAGGAAACCCCGAGUGCCAGCACAGGCUGGCUGUCCGCCAGUUUAAACAACUGGCGAAGAAAGGGCCGGGCAAGACCGGUGCCAGCCGCCGCGGUAAUACCGGCGGCUCGAGUGGUGGCCGCUAUUACUGGGCUUAAAGGGUCCGUAGCUUGAUAAUAGGGUCCCUUGAGAAAUCCGCCGGCUUAACUGGCGGGCGUUCAGGGGAAACUUGUUUUCUAGGGACCGGGAGAGGUGAGGGGUACUGCCGGGGUAGGAGUGAAAUCCUGUAAUCCCGGUGGGACCACCUAUGGCGAAGGCAUCUCACCAGAACGGGUCCGACAGUGAGGGACGAAAGCUGGGGGAGCAAACCGGAUUAAAUACCCGGGUAGUCCCAGCUGGUAACUAUGUGCGUUAGGUGU